CCAGUCACACCCAGUGGCGUUAUAAAAUCUUGCUGGGGCCUCCAAAUGUUACACCCGAGUGAGUAAAAGAACACACCACACUCUGAGAUUUGAAUUGCAAGUCCUUUAUUGC
rnacentral:pre_miRNA from 13 species